AGCAGCCGCGGUAAUUCCAGCUCCAAUAGCGUAUAUUAAAGUUGUUGCAGUUAAAAAGCUCGUAGUUGAAUUUCGGGGUUAGCAGGUUGGUCGUGCCACUGGUAUGUACUGGCCUUGCUGAUUCCUCCCUCUUGAUGAGCCGUAAUGCCAUUAAUUUGGUGUUAUGGGAAGUUAGGACUGUUACUUUGAAAAAAU
rnacentral:rRNA from 1 species